GGGCAGUGUGUGUGUGUGCAUGGGGCAGUAUGUGUGAGGGGUACAGUGUGUGUGUGAGGGGAGCAUUGUGUGUGUAUAGAGGGGCAGUGUGUGUAUAGGGGCAGUUUGUAUUGGGGCAGUGUGUGUGUAUGGGGGGCAGUGUGUGUAUGUGUAUGGGGGCAGUGUGUGUGUGUAUAUGGAGGCAGUGUGUGUAUAGGGGGAAGGGUAGGAGGGUAG